AAAAUUCAUUUUCCUUCUCUCUAACUCACUCACUCAAAUCCACUAAAAGCUUCUCUCCAAAGCUCCAACAAGCGGACUUUCCUGUAGAGUAGAGGACUACGAAAAGCUCAUCUCCAAACGGACUUUUUCGAAGUGAAGUAGAUGACUACCCAGAAGAUUUGCUUCUCAGAUCUCUCUCUUAAUUCUGUUAGAGCUCUGAUUUGGUACUACUCAUCAAUCUUGAUUGCAAGAAGUGAGAAUUGCUAUUAGAACACUGAUCAGUAAUGGACUGCCUAGAAGAUUUGCUUGUGGAUCAACCCAGAAAUCAGAGUAAAGAAUGACUUUGAAAGAAAGAAACAAGCACUAUUAGCUUCUCAAAGUGCAUCUGUUGCGUAAGGAGAAACUAAUUUAGCUAGUCAACCUUCUCAAUUAACUGAAAUGGAUAUUUGGGUGCAAUCUGUUGGUGAAAAGAAAAAAGGAAGAGUUAAAGGUCUUGGCUUCCUGGGUCGAUCUGUAAAGGCAUCUAAGCAAUCAACAUCGACUUUAUCAAAAGAAAUUGACGAGAUAAUUAAAUCCCAGUUAAAUGCUUCCAAUGCUGACUUAUAUGCGCAAUUGCAAGAAGUGGGUCGCAAAAAUAAGAGGAUGAGGAAGGAAUUAGACUUAUUGAAGAAGCAUGUAUACAAUGCAUCAUCUUCAAAUGAGCCAUUAUCUCAAGAAGACAAUGAAGCUUGUGAGAAUGAAAGUGGUGAUGACUCUGAUAACUUAACUGAAAGUGAUUCAUUCUGAGCAUGAUAACGUGAUUGAAAGUGGCUAGAUUAAGCUUGAGAUAGAUGAUAUUACUAUUUAGGAUUCAAAUUUGAGUUGUAUUUUCAUUUAGAUGAAAUGACUGCUUAUUUCCAGUGACACACUUUAACAAUCUAUCUCAUAUUCACAUGAAAUGGAUUACUAGGUUUUGAACA